rnacentral:lncRNA from 1 species
UAUUGACUCUGAGCCUCAAGUCUGAAAUAUUUUUUUCAAUUAUUGGUGUGUUUAAGUGAUUGAGGUCUGGGCUGGGCUAAAAUUAGCGCGUACAGCUGAAGUGACAGAUGUUAGCCACUGGAUAACCUGUCUGAGUGUGGGGGUGUAGUGGCGAUGUAGAGAACCCAGAGGUUGCUUUUGGAAUGUAAUGUGAUCCGCCCCAGCAGAAUGAAGUGUUCCGUCUGGUCGUUAUAUCAGGGGAGCGACUCCACCAAGAAAACCCCCAGCUACUACAUUCACUAAGUUGGCUUUUAGGAACCUUUUGUGCGCACACUUUUAAUGGGUUACUCAAAUAUCAAAUAAGGGUGCUAUAAAUAUUUGAAAAAAUGAAAUAACCGUCUUCACCCUGUUAUGCCUAAAGCGUUCCAAACAGAGUGUAUAUGCAGACCGUCUACCAGGUUGAGUUUGACUGGUUUUGUUCUCUUUCUCUCUCAGGUGGUUUCCUGGUCACCAAGAAGAUGCUGGACAUGUUCAAGCGUCCCACUGACCCUCCAGAAUACAACUACCUGUACCUACUGCUGUUUGUGGGGGGCUAUGGAGUCGCCAUGCAGGCUGGCUACAAAAUUGAACAGGUGUGCUGAUGCUAUGAAUGCUGGGCUGAUGGUCUCCAGUGUGGGCCUGAUGAUCCCCUACAUGCUGGACCCCAGCUACACAACAGGUUCUGUGUCCUCUCUCUCUCGGCCAUCAUGGUACGACCUACAUGCCGCCUCUACCCUAAUCAAAUAAAGAGAUUUACUGGGACGGACAUCCCCAUUCAAAUCAAUGUUUUAAGUUAAGAUGGUGAGUCUUUUCCUGUUCUAAUAAUUCUAUAUCUAUGGCCCUUAAUAUCCACCAACCUGGACUGACCUGUAAUCGUUGAACUGAUUCUUAGAAAUACGAUGGAAGUCGUAUCUCCUUUUGAAAUCCUGUGCUCUAGCCCAUUUUAGGUAUGUUCAGCUAUCCUUCAAUAAAAAGCACUCUGCUCACAAUCCUGCUCCACUGUUGGCCCUUAAGGAGAGUUUUCAUUGGAAGCAUUAACCAUAGGAUCAAUCCAUAAUAUGAUGAUAGAUGGAAGGUAAACUAAGAUGAUGAGGUUUUGA